rnacentral:lncRNA from 1 species
CUUCCAAGCAGGCAAGUCCCUUCAGAUUUCCAAUCGGUGAAGGCAACUUUGUUAUGCUUGUCUGUUCUAAAUAGAGAUAUCUCAAACAAUACAUCGGCUCCAAAACUUCUGGAAAAUCCCUAAAUUGGAGGCAACCUGAGAGAUUAAGCCUCUGCAGUUUUCUCAACUUGCAGAUGCUGCUUGGAAGAAUCUUAAAUUGUUUGCAGUUUUGCAGGUGCAAUUCAUAAAGUUCACACAAACAUUCAAUUGAAAAGGGAAUCUCUUGUAUUGCUGUCCCAUUUAAAUAUAGCUCCUUUAUAUUAUUGGAAACCUUUGGAAACUCUGUGAUACUUGAGCAACCGGAAAGAUCUAAAUAAAUGAGUUCCCUUAGAUCACCAAUUGAAGAUGGCAGUUCUUCUAUUGCAGUUCCAUUCAAGUACAAGUAUCUAAUAUUCCUCGAAAAGCAGGAACCUGCUGAUAGAUGAGCAGCCAACAGAGAUGUCGACGAUUAGAAGAGAUUUCAACAAAUAUAUGUUUUCUGGAAUAUUCACCAGGUGUUUGCAGUUCUUCAAAUUCAACGCGACAAGUCUGCUGAGUUCCCCAAUUGAUUGGGGAAGCUCUUCAACAGCAGUAUCAUUUAAAUUUAAAUAUGUCAGUUUCCUUGCAGUUUCUGGGCACUUCUUGAUAUUUGAACAACCAGAAAGGUUAAGACUCUUCAGACAUCUUGAAUUAAUUCUACUGGGCAGAUUGAUUAGGCUUGUGCAGCCUCUCAAAUCUAAAUCAUUAAGCUUGUCCAGAUGCUGUAUAGAUAAAGGAAUCUUAACCAAACUGGUACAGAAUUGAAGAUUCACUCUCUCAAGGUUUCUGGCCUUUGAAAGCUCUGGCAGGGAAGUUAUGUGCUCACAAUUGCUGAGGUUGACAUCUUUUAAAUUGACGAGAUUCUGAAGCAAAAUGAAAUCAACAGAAAGAAAUUACACUUCAUACCACACUUAAUUUCAAAGAAAGAACUAUGCAUGCAUAGAGUUCUUUUAAAAUACCUGGUCUGCUCUCCACAGUUGCUUAACCUUGCUAGAUGAUAGGUUAAGUUCAACAAGGUUCUGUGGACGAAAAUUGCAAGGCAAAGAUGUCAAAGGGUAUCCAUCCCAAUGAGGAAGGUGCAGUCUGCAUUUAACUCGAGCUUCAGAAUUAUAAAUUUUUAGCAGUCUAAGUUUAUACAUCCUUUUCAAGGCUGCAGAACUCAACUCAAUUUCUCUUAUUUUUGAAACAUCCAAGAAUAUCCCUUCAACUUUUCCAGUUCCCUGAAAACCAGUGAAGGAGAAACGAAGUUUGAAGUAAGAUUUUAAACUUACUAGUACAACCAUAUUGCAUUGCAUAUGAAAAGGAAAACUUUCGUGUAUAUGAAUCUCACCAGAUUAUUGGUCAACACUUGAUAUACAUCUUUAGGACUCCACAAUCUGCUUUGUCCUCCUAGCUCAUCAAGAGAUUCUUUUCGAACAACUUCAUGGGCCAUUUCUUGCAAAAGAUCAUGCAUUUCAACCUUGUCAUCUGAAAUUUUAAUGAGACACCUGUCAAUGAGAAGACUGAAUCCAAUAUCUGUUUUGAAACCGCAGCCAUCUAGUAUCGGCUUUACAAAAUCAACUCGAUGCCCUCUAAAGAAACAUGCAAUGUCGAGAAAUAUACUCUUCUCUUCACUAUCAAGUGCAUCAUAACUUGUUCUCAACACACUAUGAACUUUUUGCCGAGUUGGUUUUUCAUCCUUGUUCAAUUCACUUUCCCAUUCUUUUGUCGUUCUGCCAAAUAGAAACGAACCUAAGACUUUAAGAGCUAAUGGAUUCCCUUUAGCGUAAUUUAUUGCCCUCACAGACAGCUUCAUAUAAUUGUAUGGGGGCUGAUUAUCCUUAAAUGCAUGCAAACUAAAGAGAUGAAGAGCUUCCUGGUAAUUCAGUCUCCCAACCUCAAACAUUUUGUCUGAAUAUUUCUUAAGGACCUGUUUAUCUCUAGAUGUUAGGAUAAUUCUACUUCCUGGACCAAACAAAUCACAUCCUCCAAGUAACAUUUCAAUUUGAUCUACAUCAUUCACAUCAUCGAAAACAAUCAGAACCUUUUUACGGCAUAUCCUGUCUUUAAUGAAAGGGUGUCCAAUACGUGGAGUGCGAAUAUGUAGAUUUUCUUCCUCUGUUAUUUUAGAGAAAAGUUCAUCUCGCAUACGAAAUAAUCCUCCAUUCUUUUCUGAUUCCUCCCUCACAUUUGCAAGAAAAUAGUGACCUUCAUAUUCCCUUGCGAUCUUGUUGAAAAUCUCUCCGGCAAUGGUUGUCUUACCACUACCACCCAUGCCCCAAAUUCCUACAAAACAAACCUCCGGUAACUGUGUGCAUAAUAAGGCUUCGAUUUGCUUCAUGCGUGAAUCCAUUCCAACCAGGCCCUUCAAAUCACUUGAGGAUGCAUAAUUCAAUUUCUUCAAAAUAUGAAGUACAAUUUGUUCCACGAGUCUCGACUCAGGCCUGCCAACAUGGAGGCGAACAGAUAUGUCAAAUAGUACCCCAAGGAAACACAAUCUUUUCUUGAGGUUGGAACUUGUGUGACGGAUUCCAAUUGCCAUACAUUAUAACACCACAUACUUUAAACUGCUCAUUUGGUAACAUUUAGAAGUCACAUAACAUAUUAUAAAGCUCAAAACAUAUGCUUCUGAAUCCAAAAAUAUGAUUAUCAACUUCAAGAAAUUUUAAUUGCUAUAAAUAAAUUUUAAUUGCUAUAAUUCCAGAAAAAAAAGGUUGCAGAUGAGAAUCUAUAGUUACCUAGUAACCUGUGAAUCCCAUCCGGAUAUAUUGGCAGCACUUGUUAAGUCAGCUCUCCACCUUGGAACCUUGUCCAUCUUCUGCUUAAAAUUUCUUUCAAGCUCAGCAAACGCAUUCCCAAAACUCCCUGUCUGUUCGUCAACAUCGGACGGGUCCACAUGAUAGAAAACUGGUAAAACAAUCUGCCCGUAUGCCUUCUUGCAUUCAAGUAUCUUCACUAGUUCAUCCACACACCAUGGAGAAGAUGCAUAGUUUCUUGAGAAUAUUAUCACUGAAAUUCUCGAUUCUUCAAUUGUUCUCAGAAGUGCACCCGUAAUUUCUUCUCCUCUUUCAAGCCCGUCGUCUAUGAAGGUCUUGAUUUGUUUACCACACAGAGCAUCAUAGAGAUGGCUAGUAAAAUUAUUGCGCGUAUCCUCGCCUCUAAAACUAAGGAACACAUCAUACCUCCUUUUAUGAGCAACAGCAGAUGAAGAUGCCAUAUCAGACUGUUACAAGAUCGUGUCUUCCUCAAUCACUAAGAAUCGGAAUCAAUAAGUGCUCUCCUUUUUCUCCUAAAGACAUACAAAGCACCCACUUCAACAGCUGAACAUUCAUUAAGAGAAAUUGAAGUCUAAGAGUACAAGAACCCACACAACAUAUAUUUAUCAGAAAAUUUCUCAAACUCUUAACGAUGGAUAUAUACUAGCAUAAUUUGAUACGAUCUAUCUUAGUUUGAUCACUCGUCACUUGCUACAAAUGCUAGCUUGAUAUUACUUUCAUCAAAAGAACAGUCACUAGCUGAGCAAAAAGAAUUACAGAUGGAAGAAUAAAUACGUUAAUGAAUCAAACUUAUCAAACUCGUAUAUAUAAUCUUAAAUAUAGAAGACAACAUGAACCAGAAAGACUUACCAACAGAUCAUAAGAACAGUUGACUUGUGUUUUGCAUCAGCAAACAAGACGAAGAAGAAGCUGCAUAUUGUUUAUGAUAGAGACGAUUUUUCUUGUCUAUUGCCUUCUCCUACUCCAUCAAGUAAAUUCUUACCAACAGAUAUCUCAUCGUUAUCUAAAUGAAAUAUGUGGAUGUGAGAAGACUUUGGGGUCAUUAGCCAAUGGACUUGUCAUGGCAUUAUGUUUUUUUUUCUUUUUCUUUUCUUUUCUUUCUUAGUGCACAAUGGAUGGGCUUCCUAAAGUAAUUUGUUUGGGUCUUCCAAACCAAAAUCUUAACCCAUUUCAACCUUUCUUUUGGGUUGUGCAAACAAAAUAAUUUUGAAGAUGUCUGUCAUUUAACAUAAUGCUGGAAAUAUGUAUUGUGUCGUCAUUUUCAUAUUUAGAUUAACGAAGUACUAAUGUAAAAAACUAUUUAAAAAUAUACACCAACUUUACAAAAAUAUAUAUUUUAUAAUUGAUGGUAAAAUAAUGUUUAUUUCAGCUGGUAAUUCCAUUAAAUAACUUGUACCAUCCAGUUUUAUAAUUUAAUUUAACUCUCAUUUUCCUAAAGAAAAAAGUAAGUGAUUUGUUUUAUGAUUGAUCUUGAUUAUUUUGUUUUCAUGCAUAAGCAUGAGAUUCUCAAUAUAGCAUGAAAAUGUUUAAUCUCUUAGUUAAUGUUCUGUUUGAGAAAGUAAAAUUCAAUUUUAUUUAUUUUGUUGUUACACAUUUUUGGGUUAGCAUACAAAAAAUAUAAAAAAAAUACAUAUAAAAAAUAUAUAUUCGAAAGAAAUCCAAAAAAUAGUUGGAGUGAGAAAACGAUGUUGGAAUGCCCACAAAAUAGUGAGAAAUGGAUUGAGGAGGUUCAAAAAUACAAGAAUUGAAAUUUUGACAGUAUAUUUUUACUGAUGAGAGCCCUAGGGACAAGGAAAAUUCAAUUUGAGAAAGAAAAGUACAAAAUCAGAUGUUUAUGGACUCAAUUAAAAUUUAUCCAAGGUUUAAUUGAAUUUAGGGAGGGUUUGAUUGUAAGAAAAAUGAUCUUUUAAGUCAAUUUAGGCUUUUAUUGGAAGAAAUUAAAGUUCUAGGGUCCAAUUAUAAUUUUGAAGGGUUGAUUUGGUCAAAUCAAGGGCUUAGUUGCAUAAUUAUUGAAGUUUGAUGGCCAAUUAGGGACUUAAUUGAAAUAAUCCGAAACCAAGGAUCAAACUAGAAAAGUCAAUAAAAUUAAGGGACCUAAUUACAAUUUUUACGGGGUUUGAUUACAAAAUUGCAAAAAUUUCAAUGACCAAAUCAGAAGAAUCCAAACGACACCAUUUCCAUUGAAGCACUAUUCAUUGUCUUUUUAAACAUGGCAGUUGUGGCGUUAAAGGUAGGAGACGUUAGUAGCGAUAAUGGAGCUGCUUCAAUCAGGGGGCAUGUCUCACGCCACCAUGUACACUGGCCGUUACUCUAUUGCCGGAUAAUGUCUGCAUCCUCUGGCUAUAAAAGCCAGAGGAAAGAAGCAGCCAGGAAAAAAAAAGAAAAGGAGGAGAAAGGGAGAACGAGACAGCAAAAAAAAAAAACAAGAGAGGAGAGGUGACAGUGAGAAGAAAACAGAGAGGGAAGAGAGGGGAGCAGAACAGGUGGGCAACACAGGAAAAAGACAGACACAAGACAUAGAGGAGGAAGAAAAGAGAGGGUGGGAAAUAUUUUGAAAAAGAACGAAAAACAGAGACCAAAAGGAGAAGAACUAGAUAGAAGCAGACGAGGAAGAAAAAACAGAGGUUGGUGUCUCUGCAUGGGGAAGAAGAAAAACUACAUCACCGUCAUAACCACCGUGACCCAUCGUCAUCUUCCUCUCCACUGCCACCAGCAUCACUGUGAGCAUACACCAUUACCAUCGUCUUCGACAGCGUUUCCGCCACCAGGUUUGUUCUCUUCGUCUCUGUGCAUGCAAUUCUAUUUUUGCAUUUUCACUGUUCAAGUGAAUUAUAAUUCAUUUAAACAAUAACUAUUUCCAUUUGCAUAAGCAUGCACGCUUAAGCAUGCCUUUUGUUUCCCUAGCCGGGUCAUUGGCUUGAGCUAGUGACCCAGUUAGGCCUGUUGGGUCCAGCCCGAAAAAAAAAUUUCUUCAAAAACAAUUUAUUUCAAAAAAAUCUAUGAUUUUCCAAAUAUUUUUAUAGUAUUUUGAUCAAUAUUGGUUUGUAUUUUUAUAUUGUAAAGAUACAAAUCCAGUAUUAAAAUUAAAAAAAAAAUUGUAUUUUUAUGCAUACGACCAAGUCUCUAAAAAACAAAUCAUAUUGUAUUUUCAUAUAACAAAGAAAGUUUCAAAAAAUAUGUAUUAACAUGCAUUUUAGCUUUAAUAACUAGUUUAUUAAAGUUACGAGAACUAGGCCACUAUUUCAAAAAUUUCAAAAAAAAAUAUUUUGUUUUCUUUUAAUAUCUAGGGUUACGACCUUAUACGUAGGACAUAUUCUGGAUAUGAAAUUAUCUAUUGAUGUUAGGAUGGUUAGGUUUUACCCAAUAAAAUAAAAAUAUCUUUAUCGAAUAGAAUUUUUCUUAAACCAUAGACGGACCAAAAACUAGAAAACACAACAAGACUUUAGAUUUUAUCAAACAAUAAAACAAUGCAGUUUACCUUAGGUAGGGUGUAUUUGGGGUGCUAAUACCUUUCCUUUAUGCAACCAGUCCCCGUACCCAAUCUCUAAGACUAGUUAGGGUUCCUAGUGACCAAAAUACUAGGUGGCGACUCUCAUUCUAUUUUUCCACUAAUAAAAGACAAGAACUCCUUGUCUCCCCGUAUUUGCCAGAUAAAUAUAUAAGAGACAUUUUGAGGGUGGAUGUUUUCGCUACGACGCCACACAUGUGCGAUAUAUUUCAUAUAGUUAUUGAAGAUUAAAGAAAUACUUAGUUUUUUUUUUUUGGUGAAAUUAGGGAUUGAUUUGUGUGGUUAGGGGGAGCUCAUAUCCUAUUUUUUAUUUCGGUCCCUCAAUUAUUAUUUUUAAUUUGAUUCCUUCAUAUUGGCUUCUUUUAAAAUGAAUUAGAAAAUACUUUUAAAUGUUUGCUUAUACCAUGAAAAAUAUAUUGGAAAAUAACCCAUUGAUGUUUUAGUUUUUUAAAAGUUUACUAAAAGAAUAAGGACCAAAUCUGACAAAUAAAAAGUUGAAGAAUAAUAAAAUUAAAAAAAAAUUAUUUUCAUAAAUUAUUUCAAAUAAAACGAAUAGCAAUAAAAAGAAUAAGGAUCAAAUUUGACCGAAAAAAACAUUGAAAGAUGAUAAAAUGGUAUUUAUUUAUUUUUUAAUUUCAUAAAUUACUUCAAAUAAAAUAAAUAAUAAUAAAAAAAUCGAAACCAAAUCUAACAAAUAAAAAAGUUGAAAGAUAAUGAAAUUAAAGAAAUUAAUUUCAUAAAUUAUUUUAAAUAAAAACAAUAGAACAAAUCUAAUAAAUUAAAAAUUAAUUAAAAAAAUAAUAAAGUUUGAAAACACUUUCAUAAAAUAAACUACAUACUGAAGCAGAGAGAUUUUAAUUUAUUUAUCAUACAUGAUGCAUGGCUUCAUAUCCUAACGUGUGUCUUGUUUGGAAAGGUUAUUCGAACAUAUGGAAGAAGGAAGAUUUUGAGGGAGAUGGAUUGUGGAAACUUAAUUAGUUGAAACACAAAGACUGCUUGCUUGAACUGGAGCUAGGGUUUUGAUGAUGACAUAACGCCAUGAUCAUCACCAAUCAAGUGAAAUAAUGGAGGGCGAUAAAAAGCAGAAAUUAUGGUGGGGACUUUUCUUAUUGGAUGGAAAGAAAAGUUAGGUACCUCUCAGUUUAGAAAGAUACUACUGGAUUAUCAACACGUGGACAGUUCGGUUACAUUUUAGCCAUUAGAAUAUGUAGCCAUUCCCAUCCAUGCUUUGAUUAUUGUUUAACAAUAUAUUAAUUAUCUUCGCACAGCAGGUUAUAUGGUGUUUUUAAUUUUUUUUAAAAUCUAAAAUGUUGAUCUGGUAGUUAAGGGAGUUUAUUACUUUUUUUUUCUUUUUUUUUUAUCAAAACUUAAUGCGCAUUAUCUGUUACGGGUUGAGGAUUCCUUCUAGUUCCAUUCUUUAAACUUAGAUUCAUAUUUUUUAUAUAGAAAUAUGUGAUCAAGGAUGUAACAAGAUUCAUUUUGCAUCAUAUUUAAGCGACUCCUUGAUUCGAGCUGAAAAAACAAUAUCAUUAUCAAAAUAAUUGUAAAUUUUUAUGUUAGUGAAGAUCCCACUAGAACACCUUUUACUUCCACUUCCAAUAGACCAUAAACUAGAUCAAAAUCAUUCUCAAUAAAUCUAUAAUAAAUGAUUUUAUUUUUUUCAUCGGGUCCGGGUAGAGACCAAAAAUUUUGAGCCAUCCAUCAUGCAAAAUAACUCUAAAGAUAAAGAAAUAUCAUUAAUUUCUUCACGCUCAUUCAAAGCUAGAAGUAUCAUUUGUAUAAAUAAAAAUCCCCUUAGUGUGUGUGUAUUAUUUGUAUAAAUAAAAAUCCCCUUAGUGUGUGUGUGUGUAGAAUUUAUGGGCAAUUACUUAGAAACAAGAAUUUAAUGUGUGUUUGCUUCUCGAAAAGUGGUUUCCGGAAAAUUAAUUUCCAAACUUUUCUAUAUAUAUAUAUAUAUACACACACACACACUAUCGUAAUAAUAACAACAAGAAUAAUAAUAUAUUAAAGUUUUCUCAAAACGAUAUGCACUUGCACUCUUUUAGCCUUGAGUCCAAAGAUAAGCACGUUUGGUCUCCAUUACAUCCAUCAAAGUUCGAAUUUUGUCAAAUUUUGCUAAAGGGAAAGAAGAAUACAUUAAUCUUAGAUUGGUACAUGAAAUGAACACCAUUACUGAUUAAAAUAAAUAAAAGAAUAACCCAAUUGUCAUAUUUAAAUUUUCUUGAACUUGGCAGCAAUUCGCCCCACUAUAUCCUUGUCAAAAUAAUUACUAAAUCCAAGUGAAAAAUGAAUUAUGCCUUCGAAACCUUGCUCUCUUAGCUUAGAACAUUGCUUCCAAUCAAUCUCGAUCCAUAUCCAUUAUUUGCUUUUUUAUACGACAAUAAUAACCUUAUGUAACAAUGUCAAAUGUGCACGAGGUGCACACUUCGGCAGGCUAUCCAAAACAGUGCUUGACGGUGCUGACAACCAUACCAACAGUGGGAUAAAUCGGCAGCGCAGAUUGUUGACAAACAUGGACUGGACAAUGGACUUUCCAGGCCAAGUAGGAAAACUCGUUAGGGGGAUAGGCUGACGAGAACUGGGGCUAUUGUGGAAUUCGGCAACGCAGACAAUGGCAUCCUGCACACAGAUGUGAAUUCGGCAGCGCAGGAAUUGGCAGCCUGCAUGUAGAUGCGAAUUCGGCAAUGCGCAAUAGCUUGUGCAAGUCGUUGAUACGACUUGGCACGAUCUAAAGCUUGGAUGAUGAACUAUCCAAGGCAUGCGAGAAACUCAAUAAAUGACACAACAAGAACUGGCAGUUGGGGCUGCCAGGUGGACAUCCAGAAUAUGGGUUAGUGGCAGUUAUGGAUAUCCAGGAUCAUGGGAUCAUGGGGGCUGAAAACGUGGGGGCUGACCAGGGGUUGCUCUCAACUCACUAAGAUCAUGGGAGAUCAUGGGGGAAAACUACCCACUACUUGGUAGAUAAUGGGGCCACUAUGUUCAUGGGUGAACAUGAGUGAGAUAGUGUCCCACUACUUCCUUAAAAGUAGGAAUGAGAGUUGUGCCUUGUAAAUGCUUGUCUAUAAAUAUUAGCUGCAGCUCUUAGUUGAUAGGAGGCAUGCGUGGGGCAUGUUCAUCAUGCAAGAAUAUGCAAGAACAUGUAGAGUACAAGUUAGAGAUAGCUUGGUGUAGCAUGCAAUCUUUGUGCAUAGCACACAUAUAGAUUUGUGUAUAGUCUGCUUUGUGUACGAGAUUAAUAAAAGUAGGGGAAGAGUUCCUGUAAAGCUUGUUGUGCACUUUGAUUAUCUUAUUCUACUUGUGUAUUCUGCUUGCUUAGUUACUAGGCAAAAAUGAGUGGGAUUGGCGAGGGGAGGCUGAGUCUAGUGAGGCACUAGGUUGCCGUAUGGGUUUAUUCGAGAGUGAAAAAUUACUACCCCAUGACACCUUCCAUGAUGAACUCAAAGAAAUGUAUCUCAUCUUGAUACACUGGACAGACCCUACACUCGACCACUUGACAAUGAUUUAAAGGUAAGAGAUUGUCGCUCUUAUCUUCUAGUUGAAAUUCAACUAAGACCUCACUAUAUUCACUAAACAUGUAAUCUUUUUUGGCAACCAGACAGGAUCAAGUCCCAUGAAUAUGUGAUUUGAGUCGAUGCGCUUUUCAUCCAAACCAUGGAGAUAGCAAUAGAGAUCAUGGCUAUCACCAUGCUCAUUGCGAAAGUGAUAUGUGCAUUUAACUUGCAAACUAUGGCUCACAGAAUGGAAUGCAAUGACAACGCAAAGAUACCAAAGAACUUGGUAUUAGUCCAAUGUGAAUAUAACUAGAAUGUUACUGUAGAUCCCCAACUUUGAUGACUAAACCACUCCGGUGGUAGAAACUAAAGCAAUUGACACUACAAUAUUAUUGUAAUAGAACUCACACUUUUCCAUUCAUUUCUUGUAUUCUUUAUACAGCCCUGAGAGUUUAAUUUUAGGGAUCCAAAUAUGUGUAACAGACGAAUAUUUACAAUCAAAAUCAAUAGCAAUAUUUACAGGGAUAAUAGACUGAUCCUAUCGUUAUGGAAAACACAAAAUCUAGCAUUACUCAUGGUGACAGCUACGCUUGAAUUGGCAGUAAUUUGAAUUAAUCAGUUUCCUUGAUAUGCACCCACAAGAACGGGCUACCAUCGGAUAGGCCGAUCUUGUCAUAUAGGAAGUUUGUUCGUUGCCUUGAUAGAGGCUUGGUGAGCAAAUCAGCUAGUUGGUCAGUUGUGUUGACAUAUUGAACAGUAAGAAUAUUUUUCGCAACCAAAUCUUGCACAAAGUGAAUAUCAAUCUGUAUGUGUUUCAUCCUGGAAUGCUGAACAAGAUUAAAACUCAAUUGUGUUGCACCUAAAUUAUCAUAUAAGAUAAGAGGUGGUUGUGAUAGACUAAACUUAAGUUCUUGGAGCAAUAAUAGCAGCCACACGGAUUCUGCUGCAACCAUUGCUAAAGCCCUAUACUCGGCUUCAGUUGAUGAUCUUGCAAUUGCACUCUGCUUUUUAGAAUUCCAGGAAAUUGGUGUGUUACCAAGGAAUAGGAGAUAGGCUGAAGUGGAUUUCCUGUCGUCUAGACUACCAGCCCAAUCAGCAUCCAAGAAACAAGUCAAUGUGGUGUUGGAUGUUUUGCUGAUAGUAACACCAUGAAAAAUAAUGUUCUUCAAGUAGCACAACAAUCUUUUUGUUGCUGUCCAGUGAGUCUGCGUGGGAUGAUGCAUAAACCAGGAGAGUUUAUUGACAGUAAAGUUGAUAUCAGGUCAUGGGAGGACAGUUAUUGCAAGGCGCCAAUAACUUGACAGUAUUCGGUGGAGUCAACAAAGGAGGAACCAUCAUCCAGUUGUAAGGAAAUCGAUGUUGAAAGACGCGUGGUGACAUCCCUAGCACCGUCCAUACUGGUCUUGGCAAGUAAAUCUCUGAUAUACUUGUGCUGAGUGAGAAACAAGCCGUUUGCAGUAGGAAUAACCUCAACACCAAGGAAAAAAUACAGUGACCCCAGAUCCUUGAUGGAAAAUUUCUGUCCAAGAUGAUCAAUGAUGCUUGCAACAAAAACUGAAUUAUUGCUUGUGAUAAUCAAAUCAUCAACGUACACUAGACAGUAGGCAAGAGUGGAACCAAUAUAAAACACAAAUGGAUUUUGCCUAGUAGAUGGUGAAGGAAGGGAACUGUUAUGAUCUGGGUUAUGAAAAGGGAACGACCCUUCAUAAGAAAUUACGUGUCGAGAGGUGAUGAUUUUUGUGAUAGAUAGCUCAAAACAUAAAUAUGCAUUUUGGGAUAAGCUGUAACCCAUGAAUGUGCAUGGUUUGGAUUUCGGCUCAAGUUUAUGUUUAUUAUAUGGUCGAGUUAACGAAUAACAAAGAUAGCCGAAUUGUUUGAGCUUGAGGUAGUUGGGCUUUUGAUUGAAUAAUUUUUCAAAUGGAGAUUGAUUAUUCAAGGUAGCGAUGGGCAUGCGAUUGAUAAGAUAGGCAGUAGUUUGAAAUGCAUAAGGCCAAUAAGAGGGAGGCAUGUGAGCAUCAGUAAGUAAGGUAAGACUAGUUUCAACAAAAUGGCGAUGUCACCUUUUAGACAUACCAUUUUGUUGGCGAGUGUGGGGAGCAGUAGUGUAGUGACUAAUUCCAUUGACAAAAAGAAUAGUUUUAAGGCCAAUAUAUUCCCCACCAUUAUCAGAAUAAAGACAUUAAUUUUUGUGUUGAAUCGAUUUUCCACAAGAUUAUGAAAUUGUGGAAAAAUGGUUUGAACAUUUGAUUUAUGUGGCAUGGGAUAGAGCCAAAUAUAUUUGGUAUAAUGGUCAACAAAAAUAACAUAAUAUUUUGAGCCAUUAAUUCCAAGAUCAUGAGAUGGGCCCCAAACAUCCGUGUAAAUCAAUUCAAUUGGAGUAGUGCUAAUAAGUCCAUGAGUACUAAAUGUUUGACGAUGAGCUUUGUUUUGAGAGAAUGAAGUGCACAGAGAGGAAUGAUCAUUUUUAUUGGUAGAUAAAGAAAAAGCAUGAAUGAGAUGAUGAACCAAUUUGGAUGAAGGAUGCCCAAGAUGUUUGUGCCAUCCAUCACGUGUAGUACGUUCAUGAACAUAGUCAAUAAUAUUUUUCUUGGUGGAUGGUAGAUGCUUCGAAAAUGGGUACACUCCAUCUUCACAUUCGUCUUUGAGAAGUAUUGCCCCUGUGAUCCGAUACUUCACCAAAAAAUAAGCAGGAUGAAAUUCAAUGUAAACAUUGUUAUGCUUGGUAAAAUGGUGAACAAAAAUGAGAUUUUUAUGAAUGGUUGGAACACAAAGAGUGUCACGUAAAUGAAAGACAUGAUUGGACGAUUUAAGAGAUAAGGAUCCAAUAUGAGACACAGGCAAACCUGAUCCAUCACCAAUUACCAUCUCAUUAGUACCAUCAUAUUCAGAAUUAAUCAUCAGAUUAGAGAGAUUAGUGGUCAUAUUGUGAGAUGUUGCUGAGUCAACUAGCCAUUUGUGAUUUUUUUUAUUGAGAGGAAGCGGCAUAGUUUGCAGUAAAAUCAGAAGUAGACAUUUUGGGACAUGAUUUUGCUGUAUGACCCAAUUGAUCACACCAUUGACAUUUCGGUUUAAACCUGCUGUGACUCGAAUUGAAUGACAUGUUUCUAUGAGUCCCAUUGUGUCCACGAGAGUUAUGAGAAGCAACCAGGGGGCGCCAUUUAGGCUGUCUGGAAUUAGAAGAAAACUGAGGGCUCCAUCAAUUUGAGUUAUUAGCAGUGGGUAUAAACGGGGUUGCAGAUAGGUGCUCAAGUCAACGAAGAUAACUCUCAUGACUGAUAAAAGGAUCAUGAAUUUCUUCAAAUUUUAGAGAGGUCUCACAGGCACGAAUAGGAGCUGCAAUUUCUCUGAAUUCAAUACCCAAUCCAUUGAGUAUGUAUAGAGUUAAAUCAUCAUCUGAAAUUGGAUGAUCAAUGAUUGCUAGUUCAUCAGCAAUCACUUUGAUUCCAUGAAGGAAUUCAGUAACAGUGCGAGACCCACGAUUGCUUAAGGUUAAAUCUUCUUUGAGUUGCAUCACACACGUUCUUGAUUGCCCAUAUAUAAAUGGGUAAGUGUUGUCCAAGCCUCAUGGGAUGUAGGCAACAAGAAGAGGGGUAAUGGUUGUGGAGGUAGGGGCGAGGAUGGCAUGUAAGAUGAGUUUGUCUUGGCAAAUCCAAUGGGAAUUCGCAGCUUUUGAGGCAGUGGAAUUCAGUGCAUCAAUGGCAGGGCAUUUAUGUAUACCUGUUACAAAAUCAAUAAGGUCAUAGUUAAUGAGUAAGGCUUCAAGUUGAGCCCUCCACUGAGGAAAAGUAGAGGGGAUGAUUUUUUCGUUGAUGGUUGUGGCAGCAUUGAUUGUGAUGAUGGGUGAGUUUGGUGAGUCGGUGGUACAUGCAGAGAUGGUUGUCAUUUUGCAGGAAGCAGAAAGAAGGAAGCAAGAAGAAUGAAUACUCGUUAGAGAUUUUCAAGCUCUGAUACAAUAAAGCAACUAACACUGCAAUAUUAUUGUAAUACAACUCACACUUUUCCAUUCAUUUCUUGUAUUCUUUAUAUAGCCUUGAGAGCUUAAUUUCAAGGAUUCAAAUAUGUGUAACAAACGAAUAUUUACAAUCAAAAUCAAUAGCAAUAUUUGCAGGGAUAACAGACUGAUCCUAUAGUUAUGGAAAGCACAUAAUCUAGCAUUACUCAUGGUGACAGAUACGCUUGAAUUGGCAGUGAUUUGAAUUAAUCAGUUUCCUUGAUAGAAACUACAUACCCUUGUAACAUUGGGCUUGAAUAAGGAGACAAAUAGAGAAGGAAAGAAUUCAUAAUAGAGGUUUGAGAAACAGGCCAGAUGAUAUAACUCUCUGGAAUGCAAUAAGGAGCUCGCCAAGAAUUCAUAGGUCCUACACAUGGCAGAAUCAUCCUCCCAUCUCAUGCCUUGGACCCUUGCUCUUUUGGCUUGGAACAUUGGUUCCAAUCCAUCACGAUCCUGAGGAUAAAAACAAUAAUAGUCUUGCAUGAUCAAAUCAAAGUAAUGUAUCUCAUCUUCAUAUAGUGGAAGGACCCCACACUCAACCACUUGACAAUGAUUUAAAGGUAAGAGAUUGCCGUCCAUAUCUUCGAUUUGGAAUUCAACUGAGGCCUCACUGUAUUCACUAAAACUUUCAUUUUUUAUUGCAACAAAACAGGGAUCGAAUCCCACAAAUAUAUGUUCUGACUUGAUGCACUUUUCAUCAUACCAGCCAUAGAAAUAACAAUAGAGAUCAUGAUUAUCACCAUGCUCAUUGUGGAAGUAAUAUGUGCAUUUAACUUGCAAACUAUAUAUGGCUGACAGAAUGGAAUGCAAUGACAGCGCAAAGCGAGAAACCCAAGAACUCGUUAUUAGCCCAAUGUGAAGAAAUUUGGCAUUUUACUGUAGAUCCCCAACUUUGAUGCCUAAACCACUUCGGAGUCAUGUCCAAGGAGACAGAAACUACAUGCCCCUUCUGGAACACCGGGCAGCUGUUAAUGCAAUUCAAAUAAAUCUUUAUAAAAUAAAAGGUGGCAAAUUGAGGGAAAAAAAAGAUGUAUAUCAGAGGUUUGAGAAACAGACAUGAUGGUAUAAAGUUGAAAUUUCAAUAAUGAGUACUCCAAGAUAUUUUGAAUGGCCUCAUGCAACAACCUCCAGCAAUUAGUCAAAAUGAAUUAAAAAAUGUUCCCCUCAACUACAGUUGAUCCGCUUGAUACUGUUCUUAAUUCCUGGCAAUUGUGUGCAUCUAACUUUGUUAGCCGUGGUGGAAGCUCCGAUAAUGAUUCAAGUCUCAAGCAAUUCCUUAAUCCUAGAUAUUGCAACUUAAACAGUUUAUUGAUGCUUAUAGGUAUACUCCUCAAAUUGUUUCCACUUAGAUCUAACACUUCCAAUGACGAUAAAAGACCAAGCCUGUCUAGCACUUCCGAUAGACUGCAACCAUCAAGAUUUAGCUUACGCAAACAAUCUAAAUACACGCAUCUCUUGGGCACUUGCAAGUCAACAAUACAUUCGAUGACUUUUAGAUAUUGGCAGUUUCCAACUUCCAAGCAGGCAAGUCCCUUGAGAUUUCCAAUCGGUGAAGGCACCUUUGUUAUGCGUGUCUGUUCUAAAUAGAGAUAUCUCAAACAUACCAUCGGCUCCAAAACUUCUGGAAAAUCCCUAAAUUGGAGGCAACCUGAGAGAUUAAGCCUUUGCAGUUUUCUCAACUUACAGAUGCUGCUUGGAAGAAUCUCAAAUUGUUUGCAGUUUCUUAGGUGCAAUUCAACAAGAUCAGACAAGCAUUCUAUUGAAGAGGGAAUCUCUCGUAUUGCUGUCCCAUUUAAAUACAGCUCCUUUAAAUUAUUUGAAACCUUUGGAAACUCCGUGAUACUUGAGCAACCAGAAAGAUCAAGUUUUUCAAGACAUACUAACUUAGAAACCGCACUCGGCAGAUUCUUUAGCCUGUUGCAGCCACUAGAUCUAAAUAAAUGAGUUCCUUAGAUCACCAAUUGAAGAUGGCAGUUCUUCUAUUGCAGUUCCAUUCAAGUACAAGUAUCUUAUAUUCUUCGAAAAAUCAGGAAACCUGCUGAUAGAAGAGCAGCCAGAGAAGUCAGCAAUUAGAAGACAUGUCAGCAAAUACAUGUUUUCUGGAAGAUUCACCAGGAGGUUGCAGUUCUUCAAAUUCAACGCAACAAGUCCACUGAGUUCCCCAAUUGAUUGGGGAAGCUCAACAGCAGUCUCAUUUAAAUUUAAAUAUGUCAGUUUCCUUGCAGUUUCUGGGCACUUCUUGAGAUUUGCACAACCAGAAAGGUUCAGAGUCUCCAGACAACUUGAAUUAAUUCUACUGGGAAGAUUGAUUAGUCUUUUGCAGCCUCUCAAAUCUAAAUCAACAAGCUUGUCCAGAUGCUGAACAGCUAAAGGAAACUUAACCAAACUUGUAUAGAAUUGAAGAUUCCAUCUCUCAAGGUUUCUGGCCUUUGAAAGGUCUGGCAUAAAAGUUAUGUGCUCGCAAUUGCUGAGGUUGACAUCUUUUAAAUUGACGAGAUUCUGAAGCAAAAUGAAAUCAACAGAAAGAAAUUACACGUGCAUACCACAAUAAAUUUCAAAGAAAGAACUAUGCAUGCAUGGAGUUAUUUUAGAAUACCUGGUCUCCUGUCCACAGUUGAUUAACCUUGCUAGAUGAUAGGUUAAUUUCAACAAGGUUCUGAGGACGAAAAUUGCUAGGCAAAGAUGUCAAAGGGUAUCCAUCCCAAUGGAGAUACCUCAACUCUUCAGAAAGAGACUGGAGGCCAUGAGGAAGGUGCACUCUACAAUUCCAAUGACGAUAGACAACCAAGACUGUCUGGCACUACCGAUAAAUGGCAACCAUCUAGAUUUAGCUUACGCAAACAAUCUAAAUCCACGCAUCUCUUGGGCAAUUGCAAGUCAACAAAACAUUCGAUGUCAUUUAGAUAUUUGCAGUUUCCCACUUCCAAGCAGGCAAGUCCCUUCAGAUUUCCAAUCGGUGAAGGCAACUUUGUUAUGCGUGUUUGUUCUAAAUAGAGAUAUCUCAAACAAUACAUCGGCUCCAAAACUUCUGGAAAAUCCCUAAAUUGGAGGCAACCUGAGAGAUUAAGCCUCUGCAGUUUUCUCAACUUACAGAUGCUGCUUGGAAGAAUCUCAAAUUGUUUGCAGUUUUGCAGGUGCAAUUCAUGAAGUUCACACAAACAUUCUAUUGAAGAGGGAAUCUCUCGUAUUGCUGUCCCAUCUAAAUACAGCUCCUUUAUAUUAUUUGAAACCUUUGGAAACUCCGCGAUACUUGAGCAACCGGAAAGAUC